GGAUAGAGGUUGGGUGGCUGCAUUUCCAAAUGAUGACUUUCAUCAAGUGAGGUCCAAGAAUGGAGGAGGAACUAGGCAUCUGUCUCAGAUUCCUCAGAUGACAGUGAGAUGUACGAAAAGCAUCCCAAAAAACUCAGACGACCUGAUCAACAGAUCCAACUUUGGAUUCCCGCACUGCCACCCCAAGCAGCAGAACACUCAAGUCCAGUGCAACACUCGAUAGCAGAUGAUGUUGCAUCGUUGAGUCCAGUUCAGCAUGUCACACCCAUGUGCAACACAGGGAGUUAUUAUGACAAACUUCAACAGAGAUUUGGCUGAAGAUGGUGUUGAUGACCUUCCUACAACUCUUCUAUGGACAGAAGACCAUUCUGAUGAGACUGGUGCACAACCCCCAGAAGUAUAUGUGGUAAUAGAUUUUUGGUUAUAUUUAAAGUCUAACCUUAUUUGUAGCAUCAUAUAGGUUCAUGUUUUUGUUUUGUUUGUUUUCAUUCCCAUUUUAUAUUCAUGUAAUAUUUCCGCAAAGCCACCAAAUAAGCUCUCAUCGCUCUCAAGCUCAUCGUUACGUAUGUCCGUAUUCAUAUUUCUUUGCUGGACUUUGACAUGACAUAUCUUGAUAUACACAGAUCCAAACAUUGACACAAUGAAUGUUUGUAUACUUGACAUUGGUAUAAUCCUGCAGUAUUAAAAAACUAAAACUGUCCCUGACAGUAUUGGUCAAGAUA